GGGGGAUUAGCUCAGGUGGUAGAGCAGCUGACUCUUAAUCAGCGGGUCGUAGGUUCGAACCCUACAUCACCCACCA
rnacentral:tRNA from 1 species